AACGAACGCUGGCGGCAUGCCUAACACAUGCAAGUCGAACGAGACCUUCGGGUCUAGUGGCGCACGGGUGCGUAACACGUGGGAAUCUGCCCUUCGGUUCGGAAUAACAGUUAGAAAUGACUGCUAAUACCGGAUAAUGACGUAAGUCCAAAGAUUUAUCGCCGAAGGAUGAGCCCGCGUAGGAUUAGCUAGUUGGUGGGGUAAUGGCCUACCAAGGCGACGAUCCUUAGCUGGUCUGAGAGGAUGAUCAGCCACACUGGGACUGAGACACGGCCCAGACUCCUACGGGAGGCAGCAGUGGGGAAUAUUGGACAAUGGGCGAAAGCCUGAUCCAGCAAUGCCGCGUGAGUGAUGAAGGCCUUCGGGUUGUAAAGCUCUUUUACCAGGGAUGAUAAUGACAGUACCUGGAGAAUAAGCUCCGGCUAACUCCGUGCCAGCAGCCGCCGUAA
rnacentral:rRNA from 1 species